AUGAUUAGAUUGGGUUUAGAGCGA
rnacentral:piRNA from 1 species